UUAGACUGACAUUGCCUCAAAUUUAAAUUAAGUGAAAUAUGUGCACCAACAAAAGUCUUUUUUCAAUGUUGAAAUAGAUCUCAAGUUCGUAUUUCCUCCAAUAAUAAUAUUAAAAAAAAUUACACAACACAAUUUAUAAAAUCUCUUUAAUUAUCAACCUAACAAUAAGUUAGUAUAUGCUUGUGAAGCCAAAAAUAAUCAAGAAAAUUAUGGAGGCGACACAUGUACUUUUUGGUGAAAAAGACAAAAUUACCCUCGAGGCACACUGGGAUUCUGACGCGCAUGCAACGGACAAUAACGGCUCAAUCAAGAAAGAGUCAAACGUGAUCAAAAUGGUAUUAUUGAAAACCCUCUCAUCACUACUCAUCAAAUCCUCACUCAAAAGGUAACUCCUAAUUUUCUUAUUCAAUUUGGAAUUAAUUGCCAAGUUAAUUGCAAGAUAUUAUUUCACAUUCCCCUAUGUGGCUGACCCCUAUUCUCCAAAUAGGGCCGAUCAUUCCCCUAUAAAUAUCCAUGUUUUCUCACUAAAAUGCUAGGUCAUUCUCUCCCCAAAAAUUCCUAAGCACUUUCUCUCUCAAAUUCCUAAACACUUUCCCCCAUUCAUUGUGGCCGCAUAAGGCUUUUAGCCUUAAUCUUAGGUGUUAUUAUUUUGCAGGUGCAUUUUCGUCAAAGGUGAACACUGCGGAAAUUUGCAUCCACAAAUUGGUGCUUUCAUUGAGAGCUUGAUUCACACGCUCAAAGAAGACUCUUGCAUUCAAAGUUUUCCAUUUCUCAUUCAUUUGUAGAUUUUUCGUACAUUCUUAUUCCUAGAAUUUUUUAUAAAGUUCUUUGAAUAAACCGUAGAAGAAAAGUACAAUGACUAGAAAUUUGACAACCAUAGCGAACAUAACUUCCUACGUUUAAGGAUUUGGACCAAGCAAUAGAGAUUAAGGCAUAGCCCCACCACGAAGAUCCGCAAGGCUUAACAUAAGGGCUAGUGGAGCGGCACCACCCCCAAAGGGCACCACCGUGGUAGCUGUAGGCGAGCCCUCUACCUACAGUGAACAGGUAACCAUGUAGUAGCAAGCCCAUGCCCGCGCCACCUCACAACAGCAGACCCAGGCUCACACUACAAGACCGCAAACCUAGCGCGAAGCAGCCCAAAAUGCUGAUCCUAGUAAGUCUAAGAGAUGUAAGCCCAAACCCAAGGCAGCUGCAGGACCAAGGUAACA
rnacentral:lncRNA from 1 species